rnacentral:rRNA from 1 species
UACGCAGGCAGCAAGCGUUGUUCGGAAUUACUGGGCGUAAAGAGUGUGUAGGCGGUGCUCUAAGUUCGGUGUGAAAUCUCCUGGCUCAACUGGGAGGGUGCGCCGGAAACUGGGGUGCUGGAGCGCGGGAGAGGAAAGCGGAAUUCCUGGUGUAGCGGUGAAAUGCGUAGAUAUCAGGAGGAACACCGGCGGUGUAGACGGCUUUCUGGACCGUAGCUGACGCUGAGACACGAAAGCGUGGGUAGCAAACAGG